rnacentral:rRNA from 1 species
AUUGAACGCUGGCGGUAGGCCUAACACAUGCAAGUCGAACGCGAAAGUCCUUCGGGAUGAGUAGAGUGGCGGACGGGUGAGUAACGCGUAGGAAUCUAUCCUGUAGUGGGGGAUAACGUUUCGAAAGGAACGCUAAUACCGCAUACGCCCUACGGGGGAAAGCGGGGGAUCUUCGGACCUCGUGCUAGAGGAGGAGCCUGCGUCGGAUUAGCUAGUUGGUGAGGUAAAGGCUCACCAAGGCGACGAUCCGUAGCUGGUCUGAGAGGAUGAUCAGCCACACCGGAACUGAGACAUGGUCCGGACUCCUACGGGAGGCAGCAGUGGGGAAUAUUGCGCAAUGGGCGAAAGCCUGACGCAGCCAUACCGCGUGUGUGAAGAAGGCCUUCGGGUUGUAAAGCACUUUCAGUGGGGAGGAAAAGCUGGCGGCUAAUAUCCGCCGGCCGUGACGCUACCCACAGAAGAAGCACCGGCUAAUUCCGUGCCAGCCGCCGCCGUAAUAC